UUCAAUAUAAUUAAUUUAUCCUCAUUUGUUUUUCAGAGAAAAACUAUUCUCAGAGACCUACAGCCAGACAGGAUGAUCACAGCCAAUAUGAUUUGGUGUCUAUGGGAGCGGUGAGCAGCGGAGUCAUGGUGGAUUCAGGAGAUGCUGGAAUUGAUUCUCAGACCCCUUCUGUACUGCCCACGUUCAUGCCCUCAGGUCCCGUUGAUGUGGAUACACAGGCAUUUGCAAAUGAACAUUCUGAUACGUACCACGUAUACAGCUCAAUCCCCGACAGACCAGCAACCUCAGCCCAGCCGGAUGGGUUGUACAGUCUUCUGCAGACAAACUGACACUACACCUCUGGCUUUCUGUAGCUAUGUCUCACACAUCUCAUACAAAUACAUUCUUUCUCACACGACAUCCUUUGUUUAUCACACAUCCAGAUACUGCAAAUAAGUUGCUUAACAGGUGAUAUUACUACUGUAUUACACAUGGACAACUGACUUCUGUUACAUGUCUAUCCAUAAAAUCUGUUACUUUGUUAAUAUAUAUAUUUUUGGAGGGGUCUGGGUCAUACUCCCCUUUGAGCAUUUUUCUUAUUUCCUCCCCCUAGUAAAUGCUAAAUCUACUGUAAUGAUGUAUAUUAUAUUGACUGUGUGAUACCUCCUUCCAUAACGGUUGGAUACAAUUAAUUUCCUAUUGGGCAAAACAUAAUCCAAAACACAACCAAAACAAACUGCAAAUGCAUCCAACAGGUUUGUUGAGUCACAAGCUUGAUGUAUUUAUUGGGUGCAAGGAAUAUAGGACCAAAAUACAAAAUGUGUGACUACUUUAAUACACUAUAAAUGAAUUUGUCCAAAUACUCGUGACUUCCUCAAAUGUGGGGACUAUAUAGAUAAAGUGCUUUUAUAUCUAAAUCGUAAAACAUACAAUACCUUCAGAAAGUCUUCACACCCCUUGACGUUUUCCACAUUUUGUUGUGUUACAGCCUGAAUUUUAAAUUUAUGAAAUUUAGAUUUUUUUUGUCACUGGUCUACACACAAUACCCCAUAUCGGGGUAGAAGAUAAUCCAGUGGUUAGAGCAUUGGACUAGUAACCGAAAGGUUGCAAGAUCAAAUUCCCGUGCUGACAAGGUAAAAAUCUGUUGUUCUGCACCUGAACAAGGCAGUUAACCACUGUUCCUAGGCCUUCAUUGAAAAUAAGAAUGUGUUCUUAACUGACUUGCCUAGUUAAAUAAAGGUAAAAAUAAAAAUAAAUAAUAUCAAAGUGGAAUUACGUUAACAAAAAGUGUGAAUGAGUAUUCAACCCCUUUGUUUUGGAAAUCCAAAAUAAGUUCAGAAGUGAAAUUUUGCUUAACAAGUCGCAUAAUACGUGUUUAUAAUAGUGUUUAUUAUGAUUCUUUUAUGACUACCUGAUCUCUGUACCCAAAACAUACAAUUAUCUGUAAAGAUGGUCAGUCACGUAGUGAAUUUCAAACACAGAUUCAACCAUGAAAAACAGGGAGGUUGUCUAAUGCCUCACAAAGUACCAUUAUUGUUAAAAAGUAGACAUUGAAUAUUCCUUUGAGCAAGAUGAAGUUAUUAAUUACACUUUGGAUGGUGUACCAAUAUACCCAGUCACAACAUAGAUACUGGCAUCAUUCUGGAGGAGGCGGGGCCUGUUGUGGGGGGAGGCGACUAACUAACAAACCUGUACACUGUCUCUGAUGCAUGUGGUGGAGCCAGGCCAGCUCAAAGGGCGGGCUUAGCGGGAAAGGAGGAGGAUGAGGAGCCAGGAGAUCUGCAUGUUUAUUUAUCUCGCUCUCUCCAAGCAGUGAAAUUGUUUACACGUGGAAACGUUUUCUUGCUUUAGAAUUGAUUCAAGUGGUAUUGAAUUUAUUUCUUCUUGUUUUUGCAGUCAUUAAUGCAGAUGCUUAAAGGCUUUCUCUUGUGGCAGGAAUGGGAAGGUAAACAGCUGGCAUGUUGAUGAUCCACAUGGCUAGUGACUUUACCCUUUUCUCUCCACCCAUAAUCUCUCUUCCUUUUCUCUCUUUAACCCUAAAAUCUCUCCUUUCUCCCUUUUCUUACUCCCAAUAUGUUCUCUUCCAUGUUUGUCUUCCUCUGCCCCUCUUCUCAAUCACCCCAAUUUUUGCCCAUUUCACCAAAUCGCUCUUCUUUCUGGGAGGAUUGAUGUGACUAGCUACAGUGCACUGCUGUGGACAAAAUCAAAUUUAUCACUGGAUCAAGCAAGUGAUUGGUUCUUGACUUGUUUCUAUUGGACGAGCUAAACGCGACGUUGGGCCUGAUUGCAUCAGGACUGAGUCGGAAUAUGCUCAGCUUGAAGCCCCGCACUCUUGGCCUGGCCUGUUGGAUGUGCCCCUGCUGAGACUAUAAACUCAUCUAUAAACCGAAUGAACAUACUUGAAGAGCUGUGAAACUGCUCAGACUUUCAGUGCUUCCGUACUGUUUCUAUUAGUGACAAUGAAAUGUCAACUUUUUAUUUUUUUAAACAAAUAAACAUGCAGUUUUAAAGAUGAA